GCACAAAGAUGUGUAGAAUUAAUACAAUAUAAUUCUUAUUGGGGAUGAUGUUCUUGAGAUCAACCAAUUGAGAUCUUCCCUCUCAUCAACAUUUGAGAUUUAAGGAUUUAGGGUCCCUCAAGUAUUUCCUUGAAAUAAAGAUUGCUCGAUCAAAGAAGGGGAUUGGUUUCUCCUAACAGAAGUAUUUCCUUAAUCUUCUUAAGGAGUUUGGGUGGUUGUAGGCCAGCAGACACUCUAAUAGAUCCCAAUCAAAAACUUGGAGAUGACAAGAAAGGUAGGCUAGUGAAUACAACAUAGUAUCAAAAGUCGAUGGAAAAAAUGAUUUACUUAUCACAUACAUGACCCAAUAUUGCAUUUGCUUUGAGCUUAGCAAGUCAGUUUAUGCACUAAACUACACAAAACAUCUUGAGGCAGUUUAUAAGUUUAUCGGAUUCUCAGAUACUUGAAAAGUACAUCA